rfam:Roseomonas mucosa strain SAVE376 contig00093, whole genome shotgun sequence.
CCAGAUGGUCGGACGGCCGCGGUUCGGGCGCAGCCCGAAUCGAGGAAAGUCCGGGCUCCACGGAAAAGCGGUGCCGGCUAACGGCCGGCGGGGGUCAAACCCCAGGGAAAGUGCCACAGAAAACAGACCGCUCGGCCGGAUCGGCACCCCCGUGGUGCCGCAACCCUGCCGGGUAAGGGUGAAAGGGUGCGGUAAGAGCGCACCGCGCCCCCGGCAACGGGGGCGGCACGGUAAACCCCACCGGGAGCAAGACCGAAUAGGGGCGGCCGGCGAGCGCGGCGGAUUCGUCCGUUCCGCGUCGGCGCAGAGGUUUUUCCGCCUCGCCGCCCGGGUUGGUCGCGUGAGGCGCGUCGCGAGGCGCGUCCCAGAGGAAUGGUCGUCCAUCGUCCGAGAGGGCGGUGACAGAACCCGGCUUACAGACCAUCUGGCGCC